rnacentral:pre_miRNA from 1 species
AGUGGGAUAGCUGGGUCAAAUGGUGGUUCCAUCCCAAGUUUUCUAAGGAAUCUCUGUACUGCUUUCCAGAUUGGUUUCACCAAUUGCAGUCCCACCAGCAAU